rnacentral:lncRNA from 1 species
UUCGUAUUAAUAUACUUGCUAUUGCUCCAAAAGAACCCUAAAUGUGGAAACUCAUUUAGUAAAAGAACAAGAUAUUCAUAAAUAAACCAGGUCAUUUGAUAUAAAAUCCUAACAUAUAGUACUUAUAGUAUAGACUAAAGUGAUUAGAUCAUUGAGCCAUUCAUUUUUACCUUGUCUUAUGAAAGAAAAAAAACCUCGAAUUGAGGUGGUUAAUGGGGAACUUGUAGCUUAUGGUGUUUCCUUCCCUGCCUACUAUGUCUUCUAUCAUUUUAUUUCCUUUUGACCUUAUGUUUUCUUAAGGUAGCUAAAAUCAACAAAACAGGUAAAGAAUCCAUGUAAAAAAACUUUCUAGUGUUUGUUAAUUUCAUAAUAAGAAAAGAAAGCAAAAAACAAGAAUGGAUCUCAAAAGAACCUUUUACUAUUUGUUAAUUACAUAACAAGAAAAGAAAGCAAAAUAGAAGUGGCUAGAGCUCUAUCUCAACUCCAUGUCAAAGACACAAAUUGGGUGGACUAGGAUGAUCAUCAAUAAUGGUAAUAUUCCAUCACCAGCGUUUUGGUAAAUUUUUGGAUGACUUUGUCUGUAGGAAAAUUGUUAGUUUCUUGUAGUAAGAGGUUAAAAUUGGGUAUAUGAAUAUUAAGUGAGGGAAAAAAAGGGUUGAAAAUUACAUUUUGGUUUAUGCAUUUUUUGAAAAUAACAAGUUAGUCUCUAUGUAAUUUAAUUUUGUAAUAAUUUAGCACUUAACAAUAAAGAUAUUUAAUUUAAAAUUUGUAAUGACUUAACCAUCAUAUCAAAAGUUAGAGUUACAAUUUAACGAGUUUACUCCCAUCAGGUAAAUUAGAAAUUAAUUAAUUAAAACCAACAACCAUUAAAUUGAGAGCUUAUAUUAGUAAAUAAUAAUAUAGACAUUUGUUUUCAAUGAAAAAUUUUAAUUGUCAAUUAAAAAGGAAAAUUCUCACAAAUGGUAGAAAUACCAAACUAAAAAAUCUCUCUGCCUCUUUUUGGUCUCUACUUCUUUUUAUUCUUCAACAGUGACAAUUUUAUUAAUCUUCCUUUCACCGUCUUCUUCUUGUUCUUAAUUUUUUCUUCUUCAUUAUCAAUAUAUUGGAAUUAAAUUUCAACUAUACGUAAUUUAACACUGGAGAAUGUGAUAAUUAAAUAGAGAUAGAACUCUAUCUCUCUUUUACGUACACAAAAAUAAUAUAUAUGCUAUUAAAUGUACUUUGUUCUAUAUCUUUAAUUAGAAUGUUGUCCGAGAUUACUUUUCAAUUGAAUAUGAUAUAAUAUUAGAAUAAGAUUGUUUGGGUGUUUUCCAAAGAAAUAUCAUGUACUCAUGCACUGGGUCUUUGGAUUUUUAAGGUGGAUAGUUAUUCUUAGGUAACUAAGUAUUAUUAUUCAAGAACAUUGUCAUCAAUAUGUAAAGGUUAUGUUCCACCUACUGGAGUUUAUUCAAAUUAGAGAGGGUUAUAGAUGACAACAAUGAAUCAUUACUUUUUGUUGUUAAACGUCAAAAGACCUAGAAAAUAAAGGAUCCUACCUAGAGGUGAAGCUAAAAGUUCAACAAAAUUUAGUCUUUGUAAUCACAAAGGUCACAAUGGUCCAGGUGACCGGUCGGAAGAGCUCUUUCCUAUGGUCAGCUCAACCGUCCCCACGGGUAGAACGAGGGGUUGAUUCCAUUUAUCUUAUCAUCUUUGUUUGGAUUUCUUCUCUUGGGAGUCCAAGGCCGAGGGCCAGAUCACAUCUUUCAGCUUACCGAAAGGAAGCAACUUCCACAGCCCCAAGCAACCUCCUCUCUUCUUAGUCAAGCAGCAUCUGGCGCGUCCAACGCCCUACCUACUCUUUCCCAACCUGAAACUGCACUCAUUCGUAGAAAGGAAGUCGUCGCGCGAGUCACUAUGGUUGUCCGGUUUAGAGUCCUUCAGACGUCCUCAGUCCUUUCCAUUAGUAGUUAGGAGCUUUUCAUAUUGCGGAAAAGAAUAUUGAAGCAAGGCGCAAAGAAUAUUGCAACCUAUCCCCCUUUCCACGGAGUGGGCUGACUUUGCACCUCAUCCUCUCCUCCAUCUCAGUCGAGCUUCUCUUUCGGGAUGCGAGAGGUUAGAAGAAGGAAGGCGCUAGUAUAUAAGCAAGCCACCACCAACCUAUUCCCCUUCGUCGCUUAGGCCUGCAGAUGAAAGCUGACUUCACGCUUUCCCCCAGCCCCUCCGGGGAGGAGAGGCAAUCUGGGAAAUCCGGGUUAGCUGGCCCCUCUUGAUCUGGGUCUUACCUUGAGUCCCUAGCUUUCGAGAUAGAUGGUUCGGUUACAAACUCGGACCAAUCAAUUUAUGAUGUAAUCAUGAUAGUUGUAUUUGUUUUACGUGUAUUUUCAAAUUAUUCAUAUUUGAGUUUGUGAGAGUUAUUUUUUGAUGUAUCCUAGUUUUGAGUAUAAGCAAAUGGAACACUAUCUUCAAAUCAAUAAAAUAUUAUAAUAUCUUUGUGUAGAUUCAUCUUUUAAUUAUACCAAUGGAAGCAUAACAAAUAAACUAUUUUU